rnacentral:rRNA from 1 species
AAAAACAUAACCUUUAGCUCAAACAAAUAUUAAAGGCAACGCCUGCCCAGUGAACAAUUAAACGGCCGCGGUACCCUAACCGUGCAAAGGUAGCAUAAUCAUUUGUCUAUUAACUGUAGACCUGUAUGAAAGGCAAAAUGAGGGUUCAACUGUCUCUUAUAAUAAAUCUAUUAAACUGAUCUACUAGUAAAAAAGCUAGAAUAUACCCAUAAGACCAGAAGACCCUGUGAAGCUUAAACUAAAAUAUUAAACCCUAUAAUAACUACUUUCGGUUGGGGCGACCUUGGAAACAAAAAUAACUUCCAAAAACAUGUGAUACCACACAAACAAUUUUAGGCCUACAAGCCAGUAAACGACCCAGUAAAACUGAUAAUUGAACAAAGUUACUCCAGGGAUAACAGCGCCAUCUUCUUCAAGAGCCCAUAUCAAAAAGAAGGUUUACGACCUCGAUGUUGGAUCAGGACAUCCUAAUGGUGCAGCCGCUAUUAAGGGUUCGUUUGUUCAACGAUUAAUGUCCUACGUGAUCU